CAAGGCUGGAGUGUUUUUAUGAGACAUUGGUAUUUUUAUCAGUGUACAAGCACCUGGCCUCUGUAUUCAGUAAGUGUUCUUUAAAAAAUAACCCCUACCUGAUUAUUUCCAUAGGUAGUUUGCUCCGUAUAUAGCAAGUAACAAAUUACAUACAGAGCAAACUACAUAUGGAAAUAAUCAGGUAGGGGUUAUUUUGUUUGUUAUAUUUUGUUAAUAAUAAUAAGGCAGGCAGGGGUUAUUUAGUUUGUUACUAUAAUUUGUUACAUUAUAGUAACAAAUUACAUACAGAAAUGCAAUGUUUAACUUAGGAACUGUGGGAGAAUAUUAGUCUAGAAAUAACAGAAUUGCAGUUGUGCUAUAAAUCCAGCAUUUAGUUGAAGAGAAACCUUACUUCACAGGAGGCGAGGGACACAAGGAACAAAGUUGGAUUCCUAUCAAAAAUGUAUAAACAUUGUAACUUAGGAGGCUUAUGAAAUGAGAUAAUUUCCUCUUCUUGUGUGCCCUUCCUCCAAUGCUUGCACUGUUUAUAUUUGAGGAGUGACCCGGAAAAGUUUAGACAACAGCAGCGAUGACGGAAACAGCACCCAAGUUGCUGCUUUAAAAGGCAGUUCUUUGUAAUGUAUGGAUUUGUGCUGUUGCCCUGGACCUUCUGGUUCCUGGACAGGAAUGUGUUCUAGACAUACCACCGCCAGAGGAUUCCCCUCUUUUUCCCCCCUGAGUUUGAAUGGGGAAGUAAAAUUUCCCAGAGACUGUGGAGCUAUCCAUAGCUACUGCUUUCCAUUUUGAAUUUUUUAUUCAGACAAUGUGGAUUUUGCUCGGUGAUGUGUUUUGCAUGCACCCUUUCUGUCAGUUUUAGUGGGAGCUGGAAGUCCAUUCAUCUGGAUCAAACUAAGGCUGCCAGUUGGUCUUUCCGCAGUAGCUGAAGCUUGGGAGCAAAAUGCAUGUGAAUAAAAGACAUCUCCUGGUCUUGAGGGUGUCACAGAAGAUCCAUGACAUUGACCUUACCUGACUAGUUGAUCUUUCUAAGACCAAAUCAAAGCUUGAUGAAUUUAAACCUCCAGAUAAAGUGAAGCCCUUAGGUCACACAUGAUUUCCUUUAACAACCAGUCUGGCCCAUCAAGGAGAUUUGAGAGAAAUACACACGGCCAGUGUAUCUUUCAGCAAGACUGUUUUAAUCAUUUUAAAAGAACUUCUAACUUUCACAAAUAAUUGUGUUCAGAGACAGAUUUUCAAUCUAAAUGAAAAAGCGAAGACCUAGCUCUCAUGGCGGAAUGUAGAAACAGAAGCCUCCAGAUUGAUCUCUGCAGAUUCUAACGUGGCCCGCUUUCUCCUCAUAUUUGGCCUGCUCCCAAAGCCCUUACAACUAAGCCAGUACCUGCUUGGAUUCUUCCUGACAACUGGCAAAGAUGUCAUGUUCCACUUCUUAUCUCACCACCUCUUAACCACAGAUUGGCCCCAGUGGCUAUCAAAAGGG